AUGGUCCAGUACCCUCCGAUGCAAUCUUAUCAGCAGGUGCCAGUGCAGCAGCAGUCAUACCAGCAGCCGGUGUUGGUCCCGUACCAGACGGGACAGGGGGCCAUGCCAGUGGGAGGGGUACAGCCAUACUACAGUCUGCUGCCCCAAAACCAGCACGCCACCAUGAGUUCGACGGUGAGUUUCUUGCCCACGCCAGUGAUGGAGCAGCUGCCUUUCCCCCAGAACUCGUCCCCGUGUGUGUCGCAGCAGCUCCCGGGACAGCAGUACACAGGUAACAGCACUUUCCUGUUCCUUUUUGGGUCCUGGUUAAGUCUUGACCCAGUCCAUUUUCGGUCAUGGCUUAAGUCCAGGCUUCAAUCUAAUUCAGUUCUGCGUUUAGUCCUC
rnacentral:lncRNA from 1 species